GGAGCAAUGAACAGGAGGAGCAGAGAAAGAGAAGACUUAAAAAAAUAGCACUGUCAAUGAACUCACAGAACUUCAGCUGCUCGGUGCCUUUUCUGCAGCUUUUAAAUCAGCUCUCCGCUUGGAAGCAAGACAAGAUCGCUCAUCUCUGUGCUGGUGAUUGCUUUGGAGAUAUUGUAGUCCCACACUUAAAAUAUGAAAUUUAUUUGAUUAUAAAGGAUAUUAUUAUAUAUGCAUACCUAUGUAGAUAUAUGCUAGGUAAACAUUCCUUUUCCCUGCUUGAGAGAAUUUAAUAAUUACCAGAUGAGAAUGAUACCAUGCAUUUCUUUCAUUAUUAACAUUCAAAUAGUGUAGCUCUGAUUUAAUGUUCUAAGAUAUCUUUUUGUUCUUUGCCUUUUCCUAGGCUGACAAUACAAAGUAAAAUCACUUCUUAAAUCUUAAAGCCUUGUGAAUCUUAAUUUUAACUGUCUUCCAUAGUUCUGAGAGGGAGGGAAUGAGCAUUUCAUUUUACUGAGGCUUUAUUGUUGACUCUUAAAACAGAAGACAGAAGCUUGCUACAGCGUUACCCAGAUGUAUUUAGCUUUGACUUAUAAGUCCAAACCCAG
rnacentral:lncRNA from 1 species